AGUGAACGCUGGCGGUAGGCCUAACACAUGCAAGUCGAACGGCAGCACAGUAAGAGCUUGCUCUUACGGGUGGCGAGUGGCGGACGGGUGAGGAAUACAUCGGAAUCUACUUUUUCGUGGGGGAUAACGUAGGGAAACUUACGCUAAUACCGCAUACGACCUACGGGUGAAAGCAGGGGAUCUUCGGACCUUGCGCGAUUGAAUGAGCCGAUGUCGGAUUAGCUAGUUGGCGGGGUAAAGGCCCACCAAGGCGACGAUCCGUAGCUGGUCUGAGAGGAUGAUCGGCCACACUGGAACUGAGACACGGUCCAGAGUCCUACGGGAGGCAGCAGUGGGGAAUAUUGGACAAUGGGCGGAAGCCUGAUCCAGCCAUACCGCGUGGGUGAAGAAGGCCUUGGGGUUGUAAAGCCCUUUUGUGGGGAAAGAAAAGCAGCAGGUUAAUACCCCGCUGUUCUGACGGUACCCAAAGAAUAAGCACCGGCUAACUUCGUG
rnacentral:rRNA from 1 species